GGAGAGAUGGCAGAGUGGUCGAAUGCGGCGGUCUCGAAAAUCGUUAUACCUUCGUGGUAUCCAGGGUUCGAAUCCCUGUCUCUCCG
rnacentral:tRNA from 1 species